rnacentral:rRNA from 1 species
AGAGCGAACGCUGGCGGCAGGCCUAAAACAUGCAAGUCGAACGGACCCUUCGGGGUUAGUGGCGGACGGGUGAGUAACACGUGGGAACGUGCCUUUUGGUUCAGAACAACUCAGGGAAACUUGAGCUAAUACUGAAUAAGCCCUACGGGGGAAAGAUUUAUCGCCAUUAGAGCGGCCCGCGUUGGAUUAGCUAGUUGGUGAGGUAAAGGCUCACCAAGGCUACGAUCCAUAGCUGGUCUGAGAGGAUGAUCAGCCACACUGGGACUGAGACACGGCCCAGACUCCUACGGGAGGCAGCAGUUAGGAAUCUUGCGCAAUGGGCGAAAGCCUGACGCAGCCAUGCCGCGUGAAUGAUGAAGGUCUUAGGAUUGUAAAAUUCUUUCAGCGGGGAAGAUAAUGACUGUACCCGCAGAAGAAGCUCCGGCUAACUUCGCGCCAGCAGCCGAC